GUCCACGCCCUAAACGAUGGGCACUAGGUGUGGGAGGUAUCGACCCCUCCCGUGCCGUAGCUAACGCAUUAAGUGCCCCGCCUGGGGAGUACGGUCGCAAGGCUAAAACUCAAAGGAAUUGACGGGGGCCCGCACAAGCGGUGGAGCAUGUGGUUUAAUUCGACGCAACGCGAAGAACCUUACCUGGGCUUGACAUCCCUGGAACCCCUAUGAAAGUAGGGGGUGCCCCGAAAGGGGAGCCAGGAGACAGGUGCUGCAUGGCUGUCGU
rnacentral:rRNA from 1 species